CCUCUCGUUGAUUAACUCUAGUUGAAGGCUGACUGGGGUACUGCAGGCUAGCUCAGUGCUGCCCCCUGAGAGGAAUGAAUGGUGUCACGUAGAGGAGGUGAGUGGAGGGGAAGGGAGAGGAGAGGAAUGAAUGGUGUCACGUAGAGGAGGUGAGUGGAGGGGAAGGGAGAGGAGAGGAAUGAAUGGUGUCACGUAGAGGAGGUGAGUGGAGGGGAAGGGAGAGGAGAGGAAUGAAUGGUGUCACGUAGAGGAGGUGAGUGGAGGGGAAGGGAGAGGAAUGAAUGGUGUCACGUAGAGGAGGUGAGUGGAGGGGAAGGGAGAGGAGAGGAAUGGUGUCACGUAGAGGAGGUGAGUGGAGGGGAAGGGAGAGGAAUGAAUGGUGUCACGUAGAGGAGGUGAGUGGAGGGGAAGGGAGAGGAAUGAAUGGUGUCACGUAGAGGAGGUGAGUGGAGGGGAAGGGAGAGGAGAGGAAUGAAUGGUGUCACGUAGAGGAGGUGAGUGGAGGGGAAGGGAGAGGAGAGGAAUGAAUGGUGUCACGUAGAGGAGGUGAGUGGAGGGGAAGGGAGAGGAGAGGAAUGAAUGGUGUCACGUAGAGGAGGUGAGUGGAGGGGAAGGGAGAGGAGAGGAAUGAAUGGUGUCACGUAGAGGAGGUGAGUGGAGGGGAAGGGAGAGGAGAGGAAUGGUGUCACGUAGAGGAGGUGAGUGGAGGGGAAGGGAGAGGAAUGAAUGGUGUCACGUAGAGGAGGUGAGUGGA